UACGGAGGGAGCAAGCGUUGUUCGGAAUUACUGGGCGUAAAGGGCGUGUAGGCGGCCUUGUAAGUCGGGGGUGAAAUCCACUGGCUCAACCAGUGACGUGCCUUCGAAACUGCUUGGCUUGAGUAUGGCAGAGGAGAGCGGAAUUCCAGGUGUAGCGGUGAAAUGCGUAGAUAUCUGGAAGAACACCGGUGGCGUAGGCGGCUCUCUGGGCCAAUACUGACGCUGAGGCGCGAAAGCUAGGGGAGCGAACGGG
rnacentral:rRNA from 1 species